rnacentral:rRNA from 1 species
UACGAAGGGGGCUAGCGUUGUUCGGAAUCACUGGGCGUAAAGGGCGCGUAGGCGGCUUAUAAGUCGGGGGUGAAAGCCUGUGGCUCAACCACAGAAUUGCCUUCGAUACUGUAUGGCUUGAGACCGGAAGAGGUAAGUGGAACUGCGAGUGUAGAGGUGAAAUUCGUAGAUAUUCGCAAGAACACCAGUGGCGAGGGCGGCUUACUGGUCCGGUUCUGACGCUGAGGCGCGAAAGCGUGGGGAGCAAACAGG